AUUGAACGCUGGCGGCAGGCCUAACACAUGCAAGUCGAGCGCGAAAACACUUCGGUGUGAGUAGAGCGGCGGACGGGUGAGUAAUGCUUGGGAAUCUGCCCAGUAGUGGGGGAUAACGUGUGGAAACGCACGCUAAUACCGCAUACGUCCUACGGGAGAAAGCAGGGGAUCUUCGGACCUUGCGCUAUUGGAUGAGCCCAAGUCGGAUUAGCUAGUUGGUGGGGUAAUGGCCUACCAAGGCGACGAUCCGUAGCUGGUCUGAGAGGAUGAUCAGCCACACUGGGACUGAGACACGGCCCAGACUCCUACGGGAGGCAGCAGUGGGGAAUAUUGCACAAUGGGCGAAAGCCUGAUGCAGCCAUGCCGCGUGUGUGAAGAAGGCUCUAGGGUUGUAAAGCACUUUCAGUAGGGAGGAAAAGCUUGAGGUUAAUAACCUUGAGCCCUGACGUUACCUACAGAAGAAGCACCGGCAAACUCCGUGCCAGCAGCCGCGGUAAUACGGAGGGUGCGAGCGUUAAUCGGAAUUACUGGGCGUAAAGCGCGCGUAGGUGGUUUGAUAAGCUAGCUGUGAAAGCCCCGGGCUCAACCUGGGAACUGCAGUUAGAACUGUCUGACUAGAGUACAGUAGAGGGUGGCGGAAUUUCCUGUGUAGCGGUGAAAUGCGUAGAUAUAGGAAGGAACAUCAGUGGCGAAGGCGGCCACCUGGACUGAUACUGACACUGA
rnacentral:rRNA from 1 species